GCAAUGGUUUGGUGACUUUGGUCGUUGGUCGAACGGCGAGUGGAACGGUGGCAGUGACAAUCUCCCUUCACUAUCUAUGAGUGAAAUCCUCUCUCUCUCUCUCUCUCUCUCUCUCUGUCUCUCUCUCUCUAUGAAUGGAUGUAAUCUGUGAUCCAAUGAAUUUAUUGAUUCAAAUCUCAGGUCUGUUUAUCACCAAUUCUUAAAAUCUUAUCACUGCGAUUUCGAAACCCAUCUUUAUUAUGACCAAAUCAGUGGGGCGACUUAGAGUUUCUGGUUUUCUCAAAACUAGAAUCGUGGGGUGUAGAACUUUAUUUUCUUUCUUUUACUUAAUGCUUACUUGUAUACAUUGAUGAAAGUCAGUGGGGUGAUUUUGAUUUUUAAGUAGUUAUUCAAACCAUUGAGAAAACCAGAAUCGUGGGGUGUAGAACUUUAUUUUCUUUCUUUUACUUAAUGCUUACUGGUAUGCAUUAAUGAAAGUCAGUGGGGUGAUUUUGAUUUUUGAGUAGUUAUUCAAAGUUUCAAACCAUUUAGUUCAUGAUGAAGAUGAUGGGUUUCGAAAUCACCCCACUGGUUAAGUAAAACCACCAACAACCCUAGCGGUUUAGUAGUUAUUCACACCAAAUCAGUGGGGUGAUUUUACUUAAUGCUUACUUGUAUAAACAGAUUAUGAAAAGUUCAUGACUAGCUAUUUAAGGAUUCCCCCAAAACAUCUUAUGCACAGGAGAUUCCUAGCUUGUCUUUUCCUUAAUCUUAUUUCCCUUCUAGAUAAGGUUUGAUUUUGAUUGGCCCAAGCCAUUCUUGAAUUGAUCAUGUUUGAGUUCACAGCAGAAUUAUAAAUAUAUGCAAGGUUAUUCCAGGCUUCCAGCCCCCACGAUUUGAGGCAAAGUGAAAGGUUCAUGGUGGGAUAUGCAUGGAAGUUCUGUUCCUUUGCUUCAAAAGGUUUCUAUUCGCAUUUUGAGUCAACCUUGCAGUUCAUCAUCAUGUGAGAGAAAUUAGAGUGCUUUUGAAACAGUGCAGACCAAGAAAAGAAAUAAACUCACUCCUGACAUGUUGGAAGAUUUGGUUUAUGUAAGGAUGAAUGCUCUUAUGAAAAUCAAGUCAAAAGACAUUGAGAAGUUUAGUAAAUAGUCAAUUAAUUUAGAUAAACUUGUUGAUAUUCAAAUAGAUGAAGAUGUUGAAGUUGAAGAUGAAGAGGGUGCACGAAGGGAAUAUGAUCAGACAUUGCUUGAUAGAGAACUUGGGAUUGGAUCUGUGUUGGAUUCUGAUUAUAUGAACACUCCAAUUUAUAGUGGCACUCUAAGUCAGCUACGUAAUAUCACUCAUACUCCAUUCACACAUGAUUCCGAGACACAAGCACCAUUUGAUAUGAACAACUGAAGUUUUUUCUUCUUUAUGGCAUAGACUAUAUUUUAUGGAUUUUAUAGGUUUUGUAGAUUUCACUGUUUAUUUAAUACAUGGACCAUUUGAUAUGACAUUUUCUUAUUAUAUC